UACGAAGGGGGGCUAGCGUUGCUCGGAAUCACUGGGCGUAAAGGGUGCGUAGGCGGGUCUUUAAGUCAGGGGGUGAAAUCCUGGAGCUCAACUCCAGAACUGCCUUUGAUACUGAAGAUCUUGAGUUCGGGAGAGGUGAGUGGAACUGCGAGUGUAGAGGUGAAAUUCGUAGAUAUUCGCAAGAACACCAGUGGCGAAGGCGGCUCACUGGCCCGAUACUGACG
rnacentral:rRNA from 1 species